rnacentral:rRNA from 1 species
UGCAUCCUACGGGACGCAGCAGUGGGGAAUAUUGGGCAAUGGGCGCAAGCCUGACCCAGCAAAGCCGCGUGAAGGAAGAAGGCUUUCGGGUUGUAAACUUCUUUUCUCAGGGACGAAGAAAGUGACGGUACCUGAGGAAUAAGCCACGGCUAACUACGUGCCAGCAGCCGCGGUAAUACGUAGGUGGCAAGCGUUAUCCGGAUUUAUUGGGUGUAAAGGGCGUGUAGGCGGGAGCGCAAGUCAGAUGGGAAAACUCAGGG